rnacentral:rRNA from 1 species
UACGAAGGGGGCUAGCGUUGUUCGGAUUUACUGGGCGUAAAGCGCACGUAGGCGGAUUGUUAAGUGAGAGGUGAAAAUCCCGGAGCUCAACUCCGGAACUGCCUUUCAUACUGGCAAUCUAGAGUCCGGAAGAGGUGAGUGGAACUCCUAGUGUAGAGGUGGAAUUCGUAGAUAUUAGGAAGAAACACCAGUGGCGAAGGCGGCUCACUGGUCCGGUACUGACGCUGAGGUGCGAAAGCGUGGGGAGCAAACAGG